rnacentral:rRNA from 1 species
UACGGGGGGGGCAAGCGUUGUUCGGAAUUACUGGGCGUAAAGGGCGCGUAGGCGGCGGAUCGAGUCCGGGGUGAAAGCCCCCAGCUUAACUGGGGAAGGGCCUCGGAGACUGGUCCGCUCGAGGGAGGUAGGGGUCGCGGGAACUUCCGGUGGAGCGGUGAAAUGCGUUGAUAUCAGGAGGAACACCGAUGGCGAAGGCAGCUCGCUGGGACGGUACUGACGCUGAGGCGCGAAAGCGUGGGGAGCGAACAGG